AAAUAAAUAAAUAAAUAAAUAAAUACAGACAGAGAGGGUGAAUAGAAAUGAAAGUAAAAAAAAGAAUGUCAUAAUACAUCAUCAUUAUUAACCUGUAACAAGUAUGUCAUUACAGUGCACGACACUCCCUAAACCGCGACUCGAGCAACAAGACAGGUGCCCUACAUUCCCAGACAUCGUAUUACUGCCGUGUACCUCGGAAGAGAGCAUGAAAGUGAAUGUGAGAAGAGUGGGUGUGUGCGUGUGUGGGUGUGGCGGACUGCUUUACCCGCCACCCUCCAGCACGAGAAGGCACGGUACCGAUAUAGCACAGGAAAGCUUGUUUUGCCAAUAUUAUUUAUUUGUUUAUUUUAUUUACUUAUUUAUUUAUUUAUUAUUAUUAUUAUCAUUAUUAUUAUUAUUUUUAUUAUUAUUUUUAUUAUUAUUACUUUUUUUUCUUUUUCACGAAUGGAAAGAGAUCCGCGGUGUGCGGCAGGGCGGUAUACUUGAGGUAGUGUACAGGUUUCCAUCGCCGUCAUGUGAGUAACUCGCCGACCUUUAGCUGCAGUAUAGUAAAAUUACUUUAAUUUAUUUGAGGCUGAGGGUGCAAACUGUGACCAUUGCUACGCAACAACACUCGAUGUGUUCACCUUGAAUCGUCACCAUUCAUUCUGCGAAUCUCUCCGCAGAGUGAGAAAGCGCGGCCAGAUAUAGAAACAUCCAUUCGUGUCUGAAGAUCAGGGGCUGGCAUUAAAAUUGUCAAAGUUACAGCGGCAUAAAGAGCGCAGGCUAACCACCUGGCCUGGAACCACACACACACACCAAACAGAAAGCCAGGUGAAAGUUAGCGCCACCUGUGACGAUAUUUGCGUCACCUUGACAUAUACGCCUCCGCAUCUCUACCCCCCCACGUUCCUCCCACUGGUGGGUCGGCAGCGUGCAAGGCUAAUCUUGGCCGUCACUGAAAUUUUGCAAGGGCUCAUCAUAUGGGUAAUUUGGGCCAUGUUUUUUACUCGGCAAUUUCACAAGGAGCCUUGGUACACGAGGCUGCGGCCAGGAUGUGAUAAAAUCUGGUACUUGACGGCGAGGCAUCCCAUCCCCCGGCCACCUCACGGUCCUCUGCUGAAGACCUGAGUAGGGCAGUUUUUUUUUUUUUUCUUCUUCUUCUCCUUAAUGCAUACAGACCCAUCCAUCUUCCACGACACGAAAAAAUAAGCAUCCUCGCGCCGACACUUAUCACAGCCAGGUCUAAGUGAUGCAGAACAUACGCAGGGCGACUGCGUAUGUUCUGAAGAAGCAGUGCAAUGAAUGUGCUGUUAUGGGCUUUAAUAAACAUGAUAAACAACAUUCUUUUCUUUUUUUUUUUUUCUUUUUAGCCCGGCAGUCUGUGCCUGUAGUGGUAUCCGCUUUUCUGCGGAUAGUAAUGUUUUUGUUGAGAAACCUUAAAAUGGUACAAUGUAAAAAUGUUGAAAUAUGAAUACACAUUUGUCAAGGACUAUUCAUCAUGACGACAUUGGAAUUUACUUGCAUCAAAGCUUUUGUGAGAAUAAGAGCGAAUCUUGCAGACGCGUCCCUCGCCGUGGCAGAGAGGCAAGAGACGUAGCAGCGCGGAAGUCAGAGCAGCGUCAAAGUGGCCAGCUGAACACCUGCUGUUACGGGAAGCAGGCUGAGUGACGUCAAUGCGAGCACGGGGUGGUUUGUCCUCUGAACACGCACAGACUUCAUGCCAGGCCAUCUCUGAUGGCUGGGAUUUAUGAAGAAAAGCCGCCGCCAAUUGAGUCCUUCGUAGCGUCCAGGUCGCAGGUUCCCGCCACGCCCGAGUCUCUUUGUUCACCGGUCGCGGCG